rnacentral:snRNA from 1 species
GUGCUCACUUCGGCAGCACAUAUACUAAAAUUGGAACGGUACGGAGAAGAUUAGCAUGGCCCUUGCGCAAGGAUGACACAUAAAUUCAUGAAGCGUUCCAUAUUUUU